UACAGAGGUCGCAAGCGUUAAUCGGAUUUACUGGGCGUAAAGCGUGUGUAGGUGGUUGUACAAGUCGGUUGUGAAAUCCCCGGGCUCAACCUGGGAACUGCUUCCGAGACUGUGCGACUAGAGAUCGGUAGAGGGCGGUGGAAUUUCCGGUGUAGCGGUGAAAUGCGUAGAUAUCGGAAGGAACACCGAUGGCGAAGGCGGA
rnacentral:rRNA from 1 species